AGUGAACGCUGGCGGUAGGCCUAACACAUGCAAGUCGAACGGCAGCACAGUAAGAGCUUGCUCUUACGGGUGGCGAGUGGCGGACGGGUGAGGAAUACAUCGGAAUCUACUUUUUCGUGGGGGAUAACGUAGGGAAACUUACGCUAAUACCGCAUACGACCUACGGGCGAAAGCAGGGGAUCUUCGGACCUUGCGCGAUUGAAUGAGCCGAUGUCGGAUUAGCUAGUUGGCGGGGUAAAGGCCCACCAAGGCGACGAUCCGUAGCUGGUCUGAGAGGAUGAUCAGCCACACUGGAACUGAGACACGGUCCAGACUCCUACGGGAGGCAGCAGUGGGGAAUAUUGGACAAUGGGCGCAAGCCUGAUCCAGCCAUACCGCGUGGGUGAAGAAGGUCUUCGGGUUGUAAAGCCCUUUUGUUGGGAAAGAAAAGCAGCAGGUUAAUACCCCGCUGUUCUGACGGUACCCAAAGAAUAAGCACCGGCUAACUUCGUG
rnacentral:rRNA from 1 species